AGUAGAGAUUUGGAGAUUGAGAGAGAAAAAUUUGAUUGUGAUAUAGUGUGGGUUGUGUAUCAGAAAGUGUGGGGGGAAGGAGAAGGCACUUUGGGAGUGCUUAGGCAAGAGGCCCGCGGGCAUACAUAUACCCGUAGUAUAUUUACUGUCUAGGCACACUAGGUAAGACCUGGGCGGACCACCCCCUGUAUUUUGGUUAGGGCACCAGACGGUGCUAAGUUAGGUAAGUUAAGUGGGUAGGCAGGUUAGAUAGGAGAGGGGGAACUUUGAUAUUUACUUUCUUUGCUUUGGUUCCGUCCAGCCCCUUUUCCCCAUAUUACCGUGUAAGAAAAUAAAUUCUAAUAACGGUAAA